rnacentral:rRNA from 1 species
AGUGAACGCUGGCGGUAGGCCUAACACAUGCAAGUCGAACGGCAGCACAGUAAGAGCUUGCUCUUACGGGUGGCGAGUGGCGGACGGGUGAGGAAUACAUCGGAAUCUACUUUUUCGUGGGGGAUAACGUAGGGAAACUUACGCUAAUACCGCAUACGACCUACGGUUGAAAGCAUGGGAUCUUCGUACCUUUCGCGAUUGAUUGAGCCGAUGUCGGUUUAUGUUGUUGGCGGGGUAAAGGCCCACCAAGGCGACGAUCCGUAUCUGGUCUGAGAGGAUGAUAAGCAAAACUGGAACGGAGAAACGGUCCAGACACCAACGGGAGGAAGCAGUGGGGAAAAUUGGAAAAGGGGCGAAAGACUGAACAAGAAAUACAGGGUGGGUGAAGAAGGCCUUCGGGUUGUAAGACCUUUUGUUGGGAAAGAAAAGAAGCAGGUUAAUACCCCGAUGUUCUGACGGUAACCAAAGAAUAAGCAACGGCUAACUUCGUG